GUUGCAUUUUGUCUCAGUAUAAUACUUACUGCCAGUUCAUUCAACCCACCCCCUUUGGAAAAGACAAUCAAAGGGAUAGAAGCAUUGAUUAUAAUUUUCCAUGUCUUGGAGCUGGUUGUCAGUGGAUUGACAUGGCGUUUUGAAAGCAAGGCUUUGUUCCGUGACUCUUUCAAUGUCCUGCCUGUGAUUUACCUGGAACAGGACGCUUGAAUGUACUGCAGGACCCAAAGCAACUGAAGCAACAGUGUGUGUGUGUGUGUGUGUGU